GCCGAGCCUCCCGGCGGGCGGGUUACUCACCGCGCGGCGGGCACAUGCUGAGCGGGCGCGGCGUGGACCCCGGGCGGGCGCUGGACACGGACUGAGGACGCAGCAGGUCCCUACUGAAGUCAGGAUGGAUGAGUCCCUGUAAACCUUGAGACACCGCCAUGAGUACUAAGCAGGACCCAUUGAAGAUGGAGCAAAGAAGCCAAUUAGAAGAAAGCUAUGAUAGGCCCUGGUCUGAUUCAAGCUCUCUCAGUUGUUAGCAUCAGGCUCCCAGGGCGGAUCAUCUGUUCAAGGAUUUUAUUUAUUUGACAAACAGAGAUCACAGGUAGGCAGAGAGACAGCCAGAGAGAGAGGAAGGGAAGCAGGCUUCCUGCUGAGCAGAGAGCUUGAUGCAGGGCUCGAUCCCAGGACCCUGGAAUCAUGACCUGAGCCGAAGGCAGAGGCUUUAACCCACUGAGCCACCCAGGCGCCUCCCAAACACAAUUUCUAACCUAUGCUCUGUGAAACAGUUCUCUGAUAUGCUGUGUAUAGUACAACCAAGAUAAAAUUAAAACUUUCUUCUGGAACAACACUGCUUUUUUAGACAAAUUCUUUGCCCGUGAUCACUACUACAGAGAGUCUACCAUUUAUUGGAAGUCUUGGCCAAUGCUGUAAGGCAAGAAUAAGAACACAGAGACUUAAAAAUUGGAAAGGAAAAGACAAAAUGGUCAUUAUUUUAUAAUGGGAUACACAGUAGAUAUCCCCCAAAAAGGGGGGGGGGCAACAGAAACAAGAGAAAAAUGUAGAACUAAUUAGAAUUACUUAGAA